ACUACCAACAAUCCAGGGGCCUGGCUUUGGGGCCCUGGGCCCUGCAUCUGCUCUGCCCCACACACGGCUCUGCUUCCCAUGGUGCUCCAGGGCUCUGUCAUUUUCUUUCUUUUAGGUUUUUCUGAGACCCCACCUGGCAUAGAGAGCCUGACACACAGCAAGUAUUAAAUGCUUCAGGAAAAAGUGUGUGAACAACCCAGCGAGCAGCUUCUAGCUCUGCAGGAGAAAGAGCUGAUCUACUGAGACCCUGGAAACCCAGAAGCGCUGCUCCCUUCCAGCUCACGGGUUUGAUCACCACUUUCCCUCCGGAGUUGCCCAGCCUGGCCCUUCACACACAGGCCUCCCUCGGCCAAGGUCUGACCCCCUUUACGGCUGCCGAACUUGCAAGCUGGAAAGCUCAGAACGAGGUCUCACGUAUAGGAAGUGUGGAAAUUCUCACAGCCGGAUUUCCUGAGGUGUAGGAGUGUGGAAGCUGCGAGGGUUUGCUGCUUGCCCCGGGAAAUCCUGACUCCCCCAGGGUGGUGACAGCCCAUCUCCUCCACACAGCCUCCUGCGCAGAGCCAGGAAGAGGCCGCUUCACAGGCCCUCUGCUUGUUGUCUUGGGCCGCUUGUGGGCUAGAACAGUGGCUUCUGUGGGGGUGAGCUGGCCCGGGAGGCCCUCCCGGAGCGAGACGCAGGGCCUCUGAGCUGGGUCCGCCAGCUGCCCCUCGAGACACCCCAGUCCUGCU
rnacentral:lncRNA from 1 species